rnacentral:rRNA from 1 species
AUUGAACGCUGGCGGCAGGCCUAACACAUGCAAGUCGAGCGGAUGAAGGGAGCUUGCUCCUGGAUUCAGCGGCGGACGGGUGAGUAAUGCCUAGGAAUCUGCCUGGUAGUGGGGGAUAACGUCCGGAAACGGGCGCUAAUACCGCAUACGUCCUGAGGGAGAAAGUGGGGGAUCUUCGGACCUCACGCUAUCAGAUGAGCCUAGGUCGGAUUAGCUAGUUGGUGGGGUAAAGGCCUACCAAGGCGACGAUCCGUAACUGGUCUGAGAGGAUGAUCAGUCACACUGGAACUGAGACACGGUCCAGACUCCUACGGGAGGCAGCAGUGGGGAAUAUUGGACAAUGGGCGAAAGCCUGAUCCAGCAAUGCCGCGUGUGUGAAGAAGGUCUUCGGAUUGUAAAGCACUUUAAGUUGGGAGGAAGGGCAGUAAGUUAAUACCUGGCUGUUUUGACGUUACCAACAGAAUAAGCACCGGCUAACUUCGUG